rnacentral:misc_RNA from 1 species
UCCGAGUUGACCCCGGCAGUCUCCUGUGAGUCCCCAGCACCCCGAGGGGCCUGCUGGCAACACAGAACAAGGGUUGCGCUCGUUAAGGGACUUAACCCGACACUUCACAACACGAGCUGACGACAGCCAUGCAGCACCUGUCACCGGCCAAUUGAAGAGCUCCGUCUCUGGAGCCCCGACCGGGAAGUCAAGAGCUGGUAAGGUUCUUCGCGUUGCCUCGAAUUAAACCACAUGCUCCGCCGCUUGUGCGGGCCCCCGUCAAUUCCUUUGAGUUUUAACCUUGCGGUCGUAGUCCCCAGGCGGGGUGCUUAAUGCGUUAGCUACGGCACGGGAGACGUGGAUAGUCCCCCACACCUAGCACCCAUCGUUUACGGCGUGGACUAC